CUCCAUCUCAAAUAAUAAUAAUAUUAGAAAGAUUAUGAAGAGCUUUGAAUGCUGCCAAGACAGCUGAUUUUCACCUGCUGAAAAUGGGAAGGGGAUGUGGAGACAGACACGUGGUCAGAGCUGUUUUCGGACGGGAGCUGGCAGAAUGUGGAGGUGGCCUGAGAGGCCAAGAGGAGCAGUGGUGGGUCCCUGGGCCCAUCCAAAAGUCCCCAAGAAGAGGACCAGGACUUACUGGACUCUGCAUUCCUGGUUCCCGCCUGGCUCGUGUUAGCACUGGUGAAUGUAUGUGGUCAGAUGAGUGCAAUGAAUUCCAGGGUCUGCUUCAUGGAUCAGCUCAACUUGAACACACGCACAUUUCACUCUCAGACUGGGGCGCAUCCAGGGAUGUGUUGUCUCCUCUCUACUCCCUAGACAGCCCCAGGACAGAGGUGCCCACACAGACCAGAGACGGGGGCUGCCGCACCAGGAGCAGCAAGGGCUGAAAGACCACAGAUGACCACUAUGGAGACCUCCAAUGCCUGGCUCAUGAAUCAUCUCAUUUACAACAACUGCAUGCUGUCGGGAGAAAACAUUUUCCUGGAAGCACCUGAUUCCUUGGGCGAAUUCAGGCCUGAUGCUGAAAACCUAGCUGCAAAGGAGGCUGGGGAGGCCUGGUGUUGGGAAGGUAGUUCUGCCAAAAAGGAGAGGAGUGCCUGCCCAUCUGGCUAAUGGGAUUAAGAGGUGACAGCAUGCUGGCAGUCCUCAGAGCCCUCGCUUGC
rnacentral:lncRNA from 10 species